AACGCAAAUUUCACAGACUUUCCACAACGCUAAAGCAUUCCAUUGAGGUUGGACCCAUUAUGGCGUUCUUUGACCCAUGACCAUUGGAGUAUUGUUGUAACUAUACCAGUUUUUGGAAAGUGCUGGAGAUUAAAGUCAACUGAUCUUGGGUGCAGUAUCUCAUGCGAGUUCCUUGUGGACUCUAAGGGAACUCCUUCGUGAGCCCGAAUGGGGGAUAGUGCAAUGAUCGGCGGUACAUCU
rnacentral:snoRNA from 1 species